rnacentral:lncRNA from 1 species
CACAUGCGUGCACGUGCACACACACCUACACUUUUGUAUAUAUUCAAGGGAUCCAUUGUAGCUGAAACCAAUCCAAUAUCUCUUCCAAUAUUUUACCAAUCCCUUCUAGAGAUUAUCUAGUUCUACCAUCUCAUUUUACAGAUGAGGAAAUUGAGGCCCAAUUAAGACUAGAAUCUAGAUUCUCUUACUCCCAGUUUAAUGUCCACUCAGGACUUCAUCUUAAGCACUUCUUCACUAUAGAAAGCAUGGGACAACUCACCCAGAGUAUACUUCUUUGUCUCUAUUCACUGGCUGGCUUCAAAACAACACAAAAGCAUCUAACUUGGAGGACAAUGUCAUCUGGAGCAUCUCCAGCCACUUCCUUCCCCCACUCUGAUAUGGUGUGACAGAGGUACAACUGGCUGGGAGCCUGCCUUCUGGCCCUCUCCCUAUGACCAAGUAGAGUGACCACUGCCAGACUUUAGCUGAUCUCUAUAUGUAGUCGACCAAAUGACCUGGGAAGCAUCAAGGCACCCUCACAACUGUGUUUCCCCAGAGAGUUUUAGCCAGAAAAAUACAGAGUCUUUGGGGAUUUGGGCCUUUGUUGUUUUGAAAGUGGGAAGUAGGAGAAAGAACAGGGAGAGAAGUAGGUAGGGUGUGAAGAGAAGUAUAAUUUUAUCUCAUUUCUUUCUCUGAGAGAUCUAAGAAGUCAAGAGACACAAGAGAUCCAGUGUAACUUGAUUUUAUUAAUGUUUGCAUUCUGUCCUUCAUGUAACCUUACGCUGGAGUAUUGGACCUGGAUCACCAUCCUCUCUGUCAGAAUUGCGUCUCACUGAUGAACAUUUUCAUUUCCCAGGAGUGGUUGAUCAUGCAUCUUGGCAAAUUUCCCUCAUUUCUCUUUACAGUCCCCAUUCCUGACCUUUGAGAAACAGUCAUCAAAGUGUAGAAGUAAAGUCUUUUAAAAUGCCUUUCCAGAUGGACCCUUAGAACUCUUUCAAAGAUAUUUGUAAAUAUUCACUCUAAAUGUAAUAGAAAUAAAAAGCUGUAGAUCUUCAUUACAGAAAAACCAUUAGCUCAAGAUUGAAGAGCUCACAGUCUUAGGCACAGUUUCAUCUUACGCUGUCAUUAUUUAGAUCCCAAGAAAGAGAGGGUGGGAUUGGCUAUCCCACAGUAUAGCGGGGAGGAGGGCAGUGCAGGAAAGGACAUUGAUUCCUAGUAAAAGAUCCAUUAAAAAACAGAAAUAAGAAUGAAGUACCAGAACGUAAUUUAUCAUCCCUUUAUGCUACAGAAGAAAACUUGCAAGACAGUGUAAGGUUUCCCUGGAACUUGUUAGAAAUGUCAUCUAGACGUUGAGCCAGGAACACAAUCAAGCAACCUUUCAGGAUAUAGCCAGGCCCCAAGCCUCUUCAGAACUGGGAAUAAUGUUUUGAAUUGAAACAGAGGUGUAAAGCAGAGAGGUCAGAGCAGAUCAAUACUGGUUAUGGGUGAUGAGAUCCAGACAGAACAGUCCCCAAAAAAAUAACUGUCUUACAACGAGGGGGUGUGAUGGAUGUGUUAUUUUGUUUUUUUUGAGUCUAGUAGUAUUACUGUCUGAAACUGGUCAGUUUUUAGGGGCAACUUCAAAAUGUUAUUUGUGUCUUUCUUGUAAAUACCUGCCAAGAUUAAUACCCAAUCAAAUGCCAUGACUUGGAAAUAAACAAAUAUUCAUUUCUUAUCUA